rnacentral:rRNA from 1 species
AGAUCGGGCUACCAUGCAGUCGACGGUGAGCAGGAGCUUGCUCUUGUGGAUCAGUGGCGAACGGGUGAGUAACACGUGAGCAACCUGCCCCUGACUCUGGGAUAAGCGCUGGAAACGGCGUCUAAUACUGGAUAUGUGACGUGACCGCAUGGUCUGCGUUUGGAAAGAUUUUUCGGUUGGGGAUGGGCUCGCGGCCUAUCAGCUUGUUGGUGAGGUAAUGGCUCACCAAGGCGUCGACGGGUAGCCGGCCUGAGAGGGUGACCGGCCACACUGGGACUGAGACACGGCCCAGACUCCUACGGGAGGCAGCAGUGGGGAAUAUUGCACAAUGGGCGAAAGCCUGAUGCAGCAACGCCGCGUGAGGGAUGACGGCCUUCGGGUUGUAAACCUCUUUUAGCAGGGAAGAAGCGAAAGUGACGGUACCUGCAGAAAAAGCGCCGGCUAACUACGUGCCAGCAGCCGCGGUAAUACGUAGGGCGCAAGCGUUAUCCGGAAUUAUUGGGCGUAAAGAGCUCGUAGGCGGUUUGUCGCGUCUGCUGUGAAAUCCCGAGGCUCAACCUCGGGCCUGCAGUGGGUACGGGCAGACUAGAGUGCGGUAGGGGAGAUUGGAAUUCCUGGUGUAGCGGUGGAAUGCGCAGAUAUCAGGAGGAACACCGAUGGCGAAGGCAGAUCUCUGGGCCGUAACUGACGCUGAGGAGCGAAAGGGUGGGGAGCAAACAGGCUUAGAUACCCUGGUAGUCCACCCCGUAAACGUUGGGAACUAGUUGUGGGGUCCAUUCCACGGAUUCCGUGACGCAGCUAACGCAUUAAGUUCCCCGCCUGGGGAGUACGGCCGCAAGGCUAAAACUCAAAGGAAUUGACGGGGACCCGCACAAGCGGCGGAGC